UGGAUCACAGUCUGCUUUAUAGCAACCUUUUAUAUAAUAACAAGACAGCUUUUAGAGUAACUGAAAAAGAGGCGUUUGCUCACUUGCAAAGUCAGGACAUUCCCUGCCAAUGAACAUUCUUUGUCAGGGAUCCUUUGCCAGCAUAGGCUGAGCACUAAGCCCCACAAUCUGCAUUUUCCUUUUGAAUGACUCCCACAAAAUAAACCAAAUAUCACAUCCAAGGAGAUUUAUUACAUCCCUUCCAAGGGCGAAACAUUCCUCAGCUACAUUCCACUUCUGUCUUUUGUGCUUAGGAAAGGGGAAAAAAAUCUCUGUGAUGCCUCUGGAUCCCACCCCUCGAGGGCUUCUGUCAUUAAUAAAGCCGAGCAGCUGGAGCCAGAUUUCAGGCUACUUCUGAAUGGCUGGCGCAGCGCUGCUUGCGGGAGCAGCACCGCGAGGGCAUCGCGAGGCGGCCGGGGAGGAAUCCUGCCUCUGCUAAAGGACGGAUAAAUCGUGGCAAGGCAAUUCCUCAGUUCAAGCACCUCUUGCUGUUCUGAGUGACACCCUGUCCCUGUGGCAGCAGCUGCCAGAGUGGAUCUUCUCACUUCCUAGCUGCUCUGGCUUCUCCUGCCUCUGCAUGAUGCAAGAGCUUGCAAUGCUUUUCGGGAGCUUGGACGUGCUCUCCGGGACUCUGCUUGAAGCAAUUGCUCUCUCUAGGCUUUGCAGCGAAGCUUUUAUCCAGAUGUGUAAAGGAGGAUGUGUAUAGAGGGAGGGCAAGGGGGUGAAAUCUCUGUUGUGUUAUCUGAGCUUAAUUAAGCUUCUCCCUAAGCAGCCACUAAUUGAUUGACCCCAGGACUGCAAAAGGGAGCAAAUUUACCCGAGCUUAUUAGAAGUGCAGAGUUUAGAAUUUGACGUUUUUAUUUCAGAGAUGAAAACUUCUGACUGAUGCAUUGCUUACUGAUACCCAGUGAAACAAACACCACUCAAAAAAUGUUGUUAGUAGGUGGAUUUGGCUUCUUAAAUCCAAAUGAGAGAAGUGGUGUGUCCUCACAUGCCCUUUCAUCAUCAUUGUAUGCCACCAUUUAUAGGUAUCACUUAAUUGUAGCUCUGAUAUUCCUUUCUGCCCCAGCCUGGGCUGUGCUAACCAGCCUGUAGUCAGUUUGAAUCCAUUUCAGUUUCACAGGGUUCGGAAGUAUUUCCCAAAAUUGACAACAGAACCCCACCCCAAACCAAAAGUCUGUUCACCCACCAUGAAAUGCAGCAUCCACUGCAGAGGUGGGUGAGGCCAGCUCUGCGACAGCAUGGGGCAAUGCUGCAGCAUGAGCGUUCAUGAAGUGAAGGGGAGAAGAUGCUGUAUCCAUGGGGAGCCACAGGAGGAACGAAGGGAAGAGGAGCAUGCCCUCCCAACUGGCUGGGACACUGACUUUACCAAACAUACUGAGAUCAUUCCAGUCUGAUGGUGUUCAGAUCUGUCUUAUGCCAUUCAGCCCCCAGGCAGACCCACAACAGCACAGAGCAGGAUCUUGGCUUUUUGUUGGUGAUGUUUGACAUGAUGAAAGCUCACCCCACCGGGACUGAGACACAGUCUGAGACACAUGCAUGCCUGAAGGUGAUGGAGAACAACACGAGCAUGAGGCGGCUGGAAGAGCAGCCGCUGGCCAGGUGAAAGAAGGUAGUUUAAAGGCCAGCUUUCAAAAACAGCCCAGCCGAAGCUGUUGGUAUCACUCAGAGCCUUAUCUUUCACAGUGGCUCCAGUCAGCCUUAAAGCCAUCUCAGCUGGGCUUUAAAGCUAUUUGGAGCAUGGGGGGAAAGCCUUGGUGGGCUGGAAACUGAAGAAGUUGUGUGAGCAUCCUGGGUGUGAGGUGUUGCUGCAGAUUUGAACUUUCUCCAGUCAGCCCGUGAGCUGCUUCCCUUUUUGACCUCGCUAGGACAGACUGGUGUCCCAUUCCCUCCUAUUCUCUGUCCCUGAGAUGCUCACCUCUCCCUUCCCAAGAGGUUUCCAUGUAUUCUGCAAAGCUUUGCAGGGACUUGAUGAAACCGUCAGCUGAGCAGCACCAUGGAAAAAUGACACCUAUAUUACACAUUUUUUACCACUAAUACAGCUUUGCAGCCGUGGCUGCCUAGCCCUGUCCUAGUCCUGUUUGUCUGUAGGCCCUGAGCACUCUGGAGGUGCUGACCUGUCUCUUCUGUUAUGUUCAACAUCAGCGAGCAUUGACAGGAAGGUGCCAACUUUCAUGCUGUGUUCGAAGGGCGCUGGUUUGUGGGGUCCCUGUGGUAGCUGCAAGAGUACGUCUCAAGGCGUACCUGUGAGGAAGAGGGACUGCUGUUCUCUCAGAGGUGAAGUAGCAUUUGUCAGCCAGGAGAACUGACCCUCCAGAAGAUGCUGUUGAGGAACGAGAGAAAGCCUGGUGUCUCCUCUCUGGAGCACACAGGCUUCUCCAUCCUGAGGAGGACACUUGAGACCCUCACAACCCUCCCCCUCCCGCCUUCUCUGUCAGCCUCUUUCUCUUUCUUCUUUUCCUCUCUCCUCAACCACACCCACUAUUUAACCAUUUAGACAUAAAAAUAAAAAAUAAAAAACCACCCAACCCACUAGACAGAGGGUUUGCUAAAGAAGGGUAAUUUUAAAAGUAAGUCUUUGAGGUCAGCGGGUAAUUGUAACAUUGGGACUGUGCGAUCCAAGACAAAAAUACUCCGCUGGGUAUCUGGUCAAGGAGGAGAGGAUGGCAGCCUGCUGUGAGGGAAGAGCGACUUACACAGGAUGGGUCAGGCAGCGAAAGACCGGGCAAACCUACCUGCUGGCACCAGGACAAAUGUUUGUGUGGGACACUGCAAGAUGCUCGGCCUGCGAUGGGAUCAGAGAGCUGCUACGGCCUUGUAGGCCGCGCCCUGCUGUCGGACACUAAGCAGCCUUUCACCUCUGUCCUUCCUAAAACUGAGCUGCUCUCACGUUUGCUCCCAGGUGAAAGCACCAUAAAAAUCAGGCUUUUACUGUGAAAGAAGUUAAGAGUACCUGAAUUAAUGCCUCUUUUGUUUUCAUUGCAGGAUGCCCGGCCACCAGCUCUCCAAGCUUUCACCACAGUUCAGCACUUCCCCUUCCCAAACCACUGUCUGGCCAUGAAAGGGAUUUAUUUUUAAUCAGAGGCCAGCAGCGGCUGCAGGGGUCUUUACUUUGUGACCUUCAAUUCUGUUUCUAGGAGGAGACAGUGGGUUUCAGUACCUUCUUGCUGUGGCCGUCCCUGGGUCAACCCUUCCCAGAACAAAUGCCACUGAUGCAGGAGGGCUCGCUGCUUCCCCUUUAUUUAAGUGCUGGUUACAUAGCUCCGCCAGGAUCCGUUGCAGUCGUAAACCACGCUCCAGGGAUGAGCAAUUUAGGGUUUGGAGUGGACCAGCCCUGGAGACCUCAUGCAAUUGUUUUUCAUCUUUCUUACACCCACAGAUUUGCUAGAGGAGAGUUGCGCAGAACCCAGAGAGUUUCUGACUUGAAUUUGAGUUGGGAAAGACACACAAAAGAAAGGAAUUUGUGUUGUAAAUUAGAUUUCUCAAAUUUCAGUGAUUUGUCAUGGAAAUGUGGUUCAAUCUAUGCAGUCAUAAAAAACAUUUCACAUGUUCAGCCCCUUCUUGUGCUAUUAACUUCCCCAGUGUGGCAUGGUACAGCGACUGUAGGAGGUAAGGUUACUUUCAAAUCGGCUGUGGCAGAACACAGACUCAGCACCCCAGCUGGGGAAGCAUUAAACCUGCAAAAUGAGGAUUAACCUAGAAAACAUUCCUCGGGUCUACUGAUCUAUGCUGGAGGACUGGAUUUUUGGCUUGAGUUGUUUUCUGCCCCUUCCGAAGUUUCCAGUGGGGCACAAGCCUCUGCUGCUCUGUUUUGCUCCUGGCUGUUCCCCCUGCAAUUGCUGCUCCGAAGUCGAAAUGACUGCCCCAGCUGGAACCUGCAGCCCUGGCGUGACUACGCCUUGGCAGGGGCAAGGGUGACCGAAAGCCUUCCCGCUGCGCUGCGCCCCAAAGUGAAGUCUGCCAUUCACGGCCCAGGCCGUGGGGGUGGUCUGAAAAUAACAGUGUUGAAAACGGUGAGCGGGGAUUUCGUGCGUCUGCCUGCGUCAUGGCUGGGAGUGCACCUUCAGCCGGGUCUCUGCAACCAUCAGAAGUCGCCUAAGGGAAGAGCGGGGAAGGUGAGGAGCUCCCACACUGUCAGGCCUCCAUGUGCUCACCCCUUAGGAAAUGCACUGGAUGUCCCGCGACUCCCGGAGAAAGAAAAAGAUCUGUGGAUGCUGUUAUCCCCGUUCGCCACCCGGCCCCGAAUCUCUCGUUUCUCUGCCUUUGGCGGCGCAGCUGCCCUCGGGUGUGCUUGUGCAUCGCAUUCGGGCUCUUCGGAGGCGAGGCCAGCACAGAGAGGGGCAGGGGAGCUGGCUGCUCCCAGCGACAUUUCUGCGCGCCCGCCCGCAUCUGUCGCCAUGGCAAUGCGCGUCUGGGGCUGAGCAGAGCGUGUCUUCCCUCAAGUUGUGAGUGGAGCUCAGCGUUAUUUAUUUAAAGCCAGCCGUAAUGAGCGAUAGAGAGCGGAGAGGCACGUUACAAAUCCCCUUGCGCAGGCCGUCGCCAAAUGAGUCAGAGGCACCGCAGGCUUUAAUCAGCCCACCUGACGUCAAAGCUCUCCAUCAGAGGAAAGUGCCGCCUGGAAAUGUCAACAUGCCCAAGUGGGAAGGCCAGAAGCCGUGUGGGACGGGGCUCUCAGUUUAUAGGACCUUGCUGACACAAGCCCCAGACCUGGCCAGAACGAGGUGUCACCACCAGGAACAGAGGCUCUUCAGUGCUGCCUGUGGAUCCAGACCUCCCUGUUAACCCCUGGCCCCCUGCUCCUGCAGACCCCUGCGUGCCCGCUCUGCUGGGCGGAUCCUCCUCUGCUGUCCUGAGCUUCUCACGCACCCAAAUUUCCUGAAGGGAGGUUAUUUAGAGCAUUCUGAUAAUGGGUUGUGCCUUCGGCUGCCAGCAGACUGCUGGAGGAGAUGCCCACACGCCGAAGUUACCCUUCCCUCAGUUGUCACCCUGAAAGUUGUGUGGUGCUCCAGCAAUGAAACGGGAAAGCUGAGAUACAGACCAGGUGAGGCAGAGGGCUGCUCUUAGUCCACCAUGGAGAACUGAAGGAGGUACAAACCAAUUUUUCCCCUUCAUCGAUUACCUCCAAAGUAGCAAGUUUUCAGUCCCCACCGUCCGCUAUUCACCCCUUAACCAUCUGGAGGCUUCGCUUUCUGGCCUGCCUGAUCCUGCCACCAGCAGCUCAGCUGCCUUCAUGAGGGGUCGAGGGGCUCUGUGCUGGAGCAAGCCUGGGCUCUCUGGUCUCAUGUUCAAGGCUUUUCUUUCCCCAGGUCUUGGACUCCCUGCUUCCCUGCCUGCUGGCCCAGAAGACUGAUGGGGACCUCUCCAAGGGCCUAAAGUUCACCCCAGGAAGAAUAAUAAUUGCGGCACCGAGCUCUGCGGCUUCCCUUUCAUUCCCCACAUAGCACCAGGGUGCUCACUGAAACCACAGCAUUCAUGGAUCCCUGCCAUAUGCAAACAUGCAAUUAAUACGCUCUUCACUUUCCCCUGCACUUCCCAGGCGAGGGGGGAAAGAAAGCACGAGCUGUGCUGUACGUUCCCUUCACACGCGCGCGUGCGUGUGUUUGCGCCUCGCUCAAGUGCUCCGGCACGUCUUGCACCUAGCUGGGCUCAGCAGUUCCCCGUGAAAUGUGUCUGCUCGCAGGCAGAGCUUCACUUUGGUGCAGCACCCGCUCUGUGCAGCUGCACGCAAGGCAAGGCGAGCAAUGCGACCUGCUCCCUCUCAGCACAGCGGCAGCAGGUUCACAAUUUCACGGGUCUCCCCCUGGGGUGGAAAAUAGCGCAGCUAGGUGUGAUUUCCUCCCUGCUGGCUGCAGGAGCAGGUGCUCCGGUACCUGCCUAGGAGGCAGGGAAUAGGGAGCAGCUGGAGGGAAAAGUGUCUAAACACACCGCUGGAAGGAAAUCAAAACGGAGCCGGAUUUCCCGGAUGAGGCGGGGCUGUUGAACACAGGGCAGAGAGCGACUCUGGCAUCUGCAAGUCCUUCCUCGAAAGUUGCCUCUUGCUAGAAGAUGAUUUUUCUAGAUUCCUCACCCCCUGCCGUCACUUUUUCACAGGUUUUGAAUUGUUCCCACAAAAACUACAUGAAGUCACAGCCUGAGAGCUGGGUCUAGAACUACUCGUGUCCUCACACACCGUCCCAAGGGACCGCCUGGGGGCUGCCGUGCCUCUUCCGUGGACGAGGCCAGGUCCUGUUUCCAUCCUCACCAUGUUCUCCACGAGAACCCCGGCCAGAGGAUCCCUCCUGUAGCACAGCGGUGCGCAUGCAGCAAACCAAAAACCACUGACGUAUGCAGUUCGCCCCACAUUCCUCAAGAAACACUCAUCUGCGAGUUUGUGAAACCUCCUGGCUCGCUCCGGGGGAAACAAAAGCUCCAGCUUUGCAGGCUGCACCGUGCCCUGGAUUGCUGCACACGUGUCCCAGCGCAGAGCCCGGUCCCCUCGCCUUGUGCAACAAGGGACUUGCAUUUCCCACUCUCUCCCCACAGCCGUGAAGGUGUGCAGAGGCAGCAAGACAGGGCAGAGCAGAGUAAGAGAGAGCUGGAUGCUUUUGUCAUGAGAACGGGGCUGAUUAUUCCCUUAUCAGCAAUGAUAAAAUGAUCUUGGGCAUCCAUGUGCAUCCGCAGCAUCAAACGCUGCAAGGCCAGGAAGGCUUAUCUGCUGUCGGUUUGAGACUUGAUCAGUCUAAGCACACUCGGCUGCUGUUUCAGUCCCGUGCUGCAAUCAGAUUGCAAAUAAAUCUAAAUAUAAGAUCAGAGACAAUAGAGCUGAAAAGGAAUUUGAGCCAUCACGUGGUGCCGCCCCUACCCAAAGGCUGGCUACAGAUCAGCCUUAUAUGCGUCCCAAGAGAAGUCUGCAGGACUUGCUUGUAAAAAUGCUCCGGUGAGGGACACAUUGCCGCUGCCCAGACACCUCGUAGUACCUUUGUGUCAGUAUUUCUGUGACCUGAUCUAAAGUUUUCUUACUAAGGAGUGAGUCUGUUACCGCUCAGCCCCCCAGCAUGGCGAUGAAGAGAGAUGAUGGUCCUCCUGCCUCCCACAGCUGUCUGAAUGCCUGCAGACUGCAGGCACAGGAGCCUUCCCGCUACGCCAAAGCAGCCCAAUUCCCUCCAUCCGUUUUUAGGACCCCUUUUUCUCCACUGCCUGUCAUUCUCUCUGCCCUCCUCUGGCCUCCGCCCUGAUAUCCCCAUCUUGCUCCAGGUGUCGCACCCCCGAUGGGUAUGGCAUUUUGGCUAUUCCACACCGGUCCUCAGCCGAGCGGAAGGGGAAUUCUACACGUGUUAAAGGUUUUGCGGGAGGAUUCCUAAAUUUAUACCCCAGCGUGCCACUUGUCUUUUUCACAGCCACGCUUUUGGCUCCCGAGGGUCAGCAGCAACACUCAGGGAGGUGACGUUUGCACUGCCCAGUUUCGGUGUUUAGAGAUCUUUUAGUCUUCAGAACAGACCUUACAAUUCCUGUCCGAAUGUGUCAAAGCAUUUUUCCCUUCGGGCGCUGACAAACGAGCGAGGUUUUCUUUGCUUGACCUUUGGGCCGCCCGUGCUGCGCACGCAGCAGCCGCAGCUCACAGCACCUCGUCCUGCCGGCCUCGCGCCGAGGGCAAACACAGCGCGUGUCCCGAGAGGAGGCUGCCUUGCGCUCGUGUGGGCGAGGCGUGGAACCAAACAUCCGUGUUUGGCCAUGGAUUUUACCAUUCCUUUACUGUUAAGGAGCAAGCACAGCCCUCGUCUCCAUGCGGAGGGAGUGUGCACCCGUGUGGGGUUCACCCUGCGGGGACGGGGCAGCCCGGAGAGGUGCUCGUCCUCGGUGGGAGAACUCUGAGGUGGCCCUGUGCCGCAGCCCAUGGUUUGUUCCCAGUUUGUUACCACCACCACGGGAUCCAAGUGCCACUCUAUGGGAACAGCGAGCAUCUCACCUGUUUAGACGAUGAUUUCCAAAUGCCGUUCCUCCCUCGUAUAAGUAAGAAAUUAAAAGACUUUGCGGGAACAGCAGUGCGACUCCAUCUUGGCUGAAUUUAUGUCUUUGACCCUUUCACCCAAAGGCUCUUUACACUUGACUGAAACAUGAGGUAAAAGUAAAUGUGAAUGAAAGAGCCCAUUGUGUGUGCAAGCAUAAAGGCUUUUGUGUGCAGGAGGCAGCGUGCGGCCGGUCGUGCGAGGAGCAGCCCAGGAGUGCCGGGGUUGUGCUGUCAGUGCUGGGACCCGCGGGGAGCACGGAGCACGAGCCUGUGGUGGCCGUGCAGAAGGAACCCCGGGGCUUGGCCGGGGGAUUUUCAAAUGUGGGUCUGGCCUUGGGACGCCGGCCUGUUCUCCGCAGAGCCGUGGAGCAGGGACACACUGAGGCAGCGCCGGGGCUCCUUCGGCGGGAUCACUAUAACUGGUUUUCCCGCUGGUGGUGGGAGCAAGGCUCAGAGGGGACGGGGAUCCACAACCCUAUUUACCUGAGGCCAUCUAAGCUGCCCGAAGCUCUUUACCGGUGCCCAACUCCCUAAUCACACAGCAGCCCAGGGGCUGCCUCAGCCGGGCCCUGCCCGCGGCGCCUCGGGGCCGGGGGUCGCCGCGCUGCCCCGGGGGGCUACCGAGGGG